CCCUUAGAUGUCCUGGGCCGCACGCGCGCUACACUGAGUGUCUGAGAUACGAGUCUGCCUGGUCCGGCAAGGUCUAGGUAAUCGCUAAAAGACACAUCAUGCUUGGGAUAGAUUAUUGCAAAUAUUAAUCUUGAACGAGGAAUUCCUAGUAAGCGCAAGUCAACAGCUUGCGUUUAUUACGUCCCUGCCCUUUGUACACACCGCCCGUCGCUACUACUGAUUGGAUGUUUAAGCGGGGUUCUCGAACUGCUAGCGACUUAGCUUCGGUGAGGUCGCAGUGUGGGAAGUGAACCUAGCUUUGGUGUCUAGAGGAAGUAAAAGUCGUAACA
rnacentral:rRNA from 1 species